rnacentral:rRNA from 1 species
CCUUGGGGGCGGGGUACCGGUGGUGCAUGGCUGUCCUCCGCUCCUGGCCUGAGAUGUUGGGUUAAGUCCCCCAACGAGCGCAACCCCUGUCCUGUGUUGCCAGCAUGCCCUUGUGGUGCUGGGGACUCACAUGACACCGCCGGGGUCAACUCGGAUGAAGGUGGGGACGACUUCUAGUCCUCAUGCCCCUUAUGUCUUGGGCUGUACACCUGCGACCAUGGCCGGUACCAUGAACUGCGAUACCGUGAGGUGGACCGAAUCUCACAAAGCCGGUCUCAGUUCGGAUUGGGGUCUGCAACUCCACCCCAUGAAGUCGGAAUUGCUAGUAAACCCAGAUCACCGUUGCUGCGGUGAAUACCUUCCCUGGCCUUGUA